GGGGAGAAGGAAAAAAAAAAAGAUGUUUGUCACUCUUCCUCUAUCAUUUGGCUAUAAAUAUUUGAAAACGACAUUCAUUCUAAUUUGGAUUUUAACCUAGGAGCCACCACCCCUGAUUCCUUCUGUGGGAACCUGGAAGAGACCUGCCUCGGCAAGGGGGGCCACUGAGACCCCUCUCUGAGCCCCACAGGGGCAGAGCAGGCGCGACCCUCGGCUUCAAGUCGCUGGGAGCUACAACAGCACUUUCUGCGAAACACCGCCUGUCUGCACAGCCCCGCGAGGUGUCUCAAAGGCAACUUCCCAAAUGCAUGGUCAACACUGACGCCGCCGCGGGACCACAGAGCAGCCAGAUAACCUUUUAAUGUUCAAGGUCUGGAAACUCAACCGCAACCCAAGCAAACGGCCAAAAAGAAUACCCCAAAUGGUGUUCCUGGCGCGUGGGAUUCACCUGCGAGGAACGGGAGCUUACCGCGAAUUUCAAAGGCGCAGUGUGAACCCUUCCGGUGCCGGCGACCGCGCGGCGGCGAGGCGCGCGCUCCGGGCGCACAAAGGGUCCCCGCGCCUCCCGCCCCCGGGCCGGCGUCCCCGCCGCCCCCGGGGUCCGCGAGCAGUGCGCGCGGUGGGACACAGGCCUGCAGGAGCCGGGGCAGCAAGAGAGCCGAAGACGACCGCCGCCGAUGGGCGCCCAGCUGCCCCCGCCGUGUGCGCGGUAACGGGGUCCCCGCCUCUCCCCCCAAAACCCGGUUCCAGGCGCAUUCUCUCCAGGCCCGGGCGCUCCCUUUUGCAACGAAACCGUUUACUCAACUGGAUUAAACCACAACGCUUAUCCAUUCA